CUCUCUGUUAUUGUGCAGCUAGCAUCGAUCUGAGCACAGAGAGGAGUGUUUUAUUUUUUUUAGAAACACAGACUAUGCAAACAGGGCCUUUCGGUGGAGCCAGGGCAGUCACAGCAGGGAAGGGAAGACAUCUGUGUUAAUGGGCUGCAGGUGGAACAACUGCUGGUCUGAGUCGGCAGGAGCCACACAAUCUGACACACAAACAAACACCAACUGCUGGUCUGAGUCGGCAGAGAAGUAAAAUCGGCAGAUGGUCUAAAAAAAUGAAACAAAAUUACCGAUGCUCCACAGAAGUCCUCUGUCCUGUUGGGAAUCGGCCCACUAGUGAACAACUACAAAGCCAUCUAGUACCAAGCAGAGGCCCCCCUUCUCACUGGAACACCACCACCUUCUAAGGACCUGAGCCCUAGGACCAUGCCCCAGGACUACCUGAC